AUUGAACGCUGGCGGCAGGCCUAACACAUGCAAGUCGAGCGGCAGCGGGACCUUCGGGUCGCCGGCGAGCGGCGGACGGGUGAGUAAUGCCUAGGAAUCUGCCUGUUAGUGGGGGAUAACGCGGGGAAACUCGCGCUAAUACCGCAUACGUCCUACGGGAGAAAGUGGGGGACCCUCGGGCCUCACGCUAACAGAUGAGCCUAGGUCGGAUUAGCUAGUUGGUGGGGUAAAGGCCCACCAAGGCGACGAUCCGUAACCGGUCUGAGAGGAUGAUCAGUCACACUGGAACUGAGACACGGUCCAGACUCCUACGGGAGGCAGCAGUGGGGAAUAUUGGACAAGGGGCGAAAGCCUGAUCCAGCCAUGCCGCGUGUGUGAAGAAGGUCUUCGGAUUGUAAAGCACUUUAAGUUGGGAGGAAGGGCGCUCGGUGAAUACCCAGGCGUCUUGACGUUACCGACAGAGUAAGCACCGGCUAACUUCGUGCCAGCAGCCGCCGUAAGAC
rnacentral:rRNA from 1 species